UACAGAGGGGGCAAGCGUUGUUCGGAAUUACUGGGCGUAAAGGGCUCGUAGGUGGCCAACUAAGUCAGACGUGAAAUCCCUCGGCUUAACCGGGGAACUGCGUCUGAUACUGGAUGGCUUGAGUUCGGGAGAGGGAUGCGGAAUUCCAGGUGUAGCGGUGAAAUGCGUAGAUAUCUGGAGGAACACCGGUGGCGAAGGCGGUUCUCUGGGAAUGACCUGACGCUGAGGAGCGAAAGUGUGGGGAGCGAACAGG
rnacentral:rRNA from 1 species